rnacentral:rRNA from 1 species
AGCGGGGGACCGUAAGGCCUGGCGCUAUUGGAGCGGCCGAUGUCAGAUUAGCUAGUUGGUGGGGUAAAAGCCUACCAAGGCGACGAUCUGUAGCUGGUCUGAGAGGACGACCAGCCACACUGGGACUGAGACACGGCCCAGACUCCUACGGGAGGCAGCAGUGGGGAAUUUUGGACAAUGGGCGCAAGCCUGAUCCAGCCAUGCCGCGUGCGGGAAGAAGGCCUUCGGGUUGUAAACCGCUUUUGUCAGGGAAGAAACGCUCUGGGCUAAUACCCCGGGGUAAUGACGGUACCUGAAGAAUAAGCACCCGGCUAACUACCGUGCCAGCAGCCCGUGGUAAAUACGUAUGGGUGCAAGCGUUAAAUCKGAAUUACUUGGGCUGUAAAGCGUGCGCCAGGCGGGUUAUACAAUGACCAGAUUGUGAAAUUCCUCCGGGCCUCAACCUGGGAACUGCAAUUUGUGACUGUAUAAGCUUAGAGUACCGUAUAAGGGGGAUUGGA